UAAUAAGUGUUUUAUGGCACUUUUUAAAUCCAUAUCCACCUUGUGCGCAAUGUCAGUCGAUCUUCUUCAUGGAGAUCGACCAAACAUCAACCUUUAUCUUUUAACUCUUUGUCUUAAAAAUAUUAUGAAUAAACAAUUCAAAAUA
rnacentral:misc_RNA from 1 species